UACAGAGGGGGCAAGCGUUGUUCGGAAUUACUGGGCGUAAAGGGCGCGUAGGCGGCCUUCUAAGUCGAACGUGAAAUCCCCGGGCUCAACCCGGGAACUGCGUCCGAUACUGGAAGGCUUGAAUCCGGGAGAGGGAUGCGGAAUUCCAGGUGUAGCGGUGAAAUGCGUAGAUAUCAGGAGGAACACCGGUGGCGAAAGCGGCUCACUGGACCGUUACUGACGCUGAGGUGCGAAAGCUAGGGGAGCAAACGGG
rnacentral:rRNA from 1 species